GUGCUUGCUUUGGCAGCACAUAUACAAAAAAUGGAACAAUACAGACAAUAUUAGUAUGACCCCUGCCAAGGAUGGCACCAAAAUUCGUGAAGCGUUCUAUAUUUUU